GACGAACGCUGGCGGCGUGCUUAAUACAUGCAAGUAGAACGCAGUUUCGAACGGGUGAGUAACGCGUAGGUAACUGCCACAUAGCGGGGGAUAAAUAUUGGCAACGAUAGCUAAUACCGCAUACUGUGAGAUGGACCUGCGUUGUAUUAGCUAGUUGGUGAGGUAAAGGCUCACCAAGGCGACGAUACAUAGUCGACCUGAGAGGGUAAGCGGCCACGCUGUGACUGAUACACGGGCCGGCAUCCUACGGGAGGCAGCAGUAGGGAGUCUUGGGCAAUAGGCGGAAGUCUGAGCAAGCAACGCCGCGUGAGUGAAGAAGGUUGUCGGAUCGUAAAGCUCUGUUGUGAGAGACACGGUAACUGACCAGAAAGGGACGGCUAACUACGUGCCAGCAGCCGCGGUAAUAA
rnacentral:rRNA from 1 species